UACAGGGGGGGCAAGCGUUGUUCGGAAUUACUGGGCGUAAAGGGCUCGUAGGCGGCCAACUAAGUCACACGUGAAAUCCCCAGGCUUAACCUGGGAACUGCGUGUGAUACUGGAUGGCUUGAAUUCUGGAGAGGGAUGCAGAAUUCCAGGUGUAGCGGUGAAAUGCGUAGAUAUCUGGAGGAAUACCGGUGGCGAAGGCGGCAUCCUGGACCGACAUUGACGCUGAGGAGCGAAAGCUAGGGGAGCAAACGGG
rnacentral:rRNA from 1 species